rnacentral:misc_RNA from 1 species
AGAUGGCAGGCUUUCAUUUUGUUUGCUGCGCUGAUGGAGUUUAUUUACUGCUUCGGCUGCCUGUAUGGAAUGGACCAACUUCUUCAGCAACCACAAUUAAUUGUGUUUCUCAACUGGUCUGCUGUGGUUAUUUUUCUUUUACUGGGCCUCUAUACUUUAUUUCAUACGUUCAAAAGCACCA